AAUUAACGCUGGCGGCGUGCUUAACACAUGCAAGUCGAGCGGUAAGGCUCCUUCGGGAGUACACGAGCGGCGAACGGGUGAGUAACGCGUGAGCAAUCUGCCCUUCACUUUGGGAUUACUUCCGGAAACGGAAGCUAAUACCGAAUACGACCACUUCAGGCGCCUGAUGGUGGUGGAAAGUUCCGGCGGUGAAGGAUGAGCUCGCGGCCUAUCAGCUUGUUGGUGAGGUAACGGCUCACCAAGGCUUCGACGGGUAGCCGGCCUGAGAGGGUGACCGGCCACACUGGGACUGAGACACGGCCCAGACUCCUACGGGAGGCAGCAGUGGGGAAUAUUGGACAAUGGGCGAAAGCCUGAUCCAGCAACGCCGCGUGAGGGAUGACUGCCUUCGGGUUGUAAACCUCUUUCAGCGGGGACGAAGCGAAAGUGACGGUACCCGCAGAAGAAGCACCGGCCAACUACGUGCCAGCAGCCGCGGUAAUAC
rnacentral:rRNA from 1 species